rnacentral:rRNA from 1 species
GCUUAUGGCCAUACCACCCUGAACACCCCCGAUCUCGUCUGAUCUCGGAAGUUAAGCAGGGUCGGGCCUGGUCAGUACUUGGAAGGGGCAGCAUGGUGGCACGGUGGUUAGCA